rnacentral:rRNA from 1 species
GACGAACGCUGGCGGCGUGCCUAAUACAUGCAAGUCGAACGGUGAGGGCCUGUAUUUGUGCGGACUGGGUGUGGAGCGAGCGGGAGUAUAACGCGAGUGGAAUCUGCCUGAGAGCGGGGUACCAUAUUGAGACACGAGUUCUUACACCGCAUAAAAACUUUCAACACGGGGGUUAAGGUUGAAAGAUGCAGUUGCGGCACGUACGGAUGGUCGCGCGUUGUAUUAGCGUGUUGGUGGGGUAACGGCUCACAAAGGCGUGGACGGGUAGCCGGCCUGAGAGGGUGACCGGCCACAUUGGGACUGAGAUACGGCCCAGACUCCUACGGGAGGCAGCGGUGGGGAAUAUUGCACAAUGGGCGGAAGCCUGAGGCAGCAACGCCGCGUGCGGGAUGACGGCCUUCGGGUUGUAAACCGCUUUCGCCUGUGACGAAGCGUGAGUGACGGUAAUGGGUAAAGAAGCACCGGCUAACUACGUG